rnacentral:rRNA from 1 species
GUCUGUGGCCAUGCCACCCUGAACAAGCCUGAUGUCUGAUCUCGGAAGCUAAGCAGGGUUGGGCCUGGUUAGUACUUGGAUGGGAGACCACCUAGGAAGACCAUGUGCUCUAGGCA